rnacentral:tRNA from 2 species
UUGGUUGACUGCCUACAUAAAGUGGUACAAAAAAGUGGUACAAAAACGUCUAUGCCUGUAACAUUAAGUUAUUGAUAUUUAGUAAUUUAAACUUGGUAGCUUGCAAUCGAGAGUUCGAAUCUCUCACUCACCGCCA